GAUAGAGGUGGCCGAAGUGGUUAAGGCGAUGGACUGCUAAAUCCAUUGUGCUCUGCACGCGUGGGUUCGAAUCCCAUCCUCGUCG